rnacentral:rRNA from 1 species
CCUACGGGAGGCAGCAGUGGGGGAUAUUGCACAAUGGGGGAAACCCUGAUGCAGCGACGCCGCGUGGGUGAAGAAGUAUUUCGGUAUGUAAAGCCCUAUCAGCAGGGAAGAAAGAAGACGGUACCUGACUAAGAAGCCCCGGCUAACUACGUGCCAGCAGCCGCGGUAAUACGUAGGGGGCGAGCGUUAUCCGGAUUCACUGGGUGUAAAGGGAGCGUAGACGGCCGUGCAAGCCAGGAGUGAAAGCCCGGGGCCCAACCCCGGGACUGCUCUUGGAACUGUCCAGCUGGAGUGCAGGAGAGGUAAGCGGAAUUCCUAGUGUAGCGGUGAAAUGCGUAGAUAUUAGGAGGAACACCAGUGGCGAAGGCGGCUUACUGGACUGUAACUGACACUGAGGCACGAAAGCGUGGGGAGCAAACAGGAUUAGAUACCCCUGUAGUC